rnacentral:rRNA from 1 species
GACGAACGCUGGCGGCGUGCUUAACACAUGCAAGUCGAACGGAAAGGCCCUGCUUUUGUGGGGUGCUCGAGUGGCGAACGGGUGAGUAACACGUGAGUAACCUGCCCUUGACUUUGGGAUAACUUCAGGAAACUGGGGCUAAUACCGGAUAGGAGCUCCUGCUGCAUGGUGGGGGCUGGAAAGUUUCGGCGGUUGGGGAUGGACUCGCGGCUUAUCAGCUUGUUGGUGGGGUAGUGGCUUACCAAGGCUUUGACGGGUAGCCGGCCUGAGAGGGUGACCGGCCACAUUGGGACUGAGAUACGGCCCAGACUCCUACGGGAGGCAGCAGUGGGGAAUAUUGCACAAUGGGCGGAAGCCUGAUGCAACAACGCCGCGUGCGGGAUGACGGCCUUCGGGUUGUAAACCGCUUUCGCCUGUGACGAAGCGUGAGUGACGGUAAUGGGUAAAGAAGCACCGGCUAACUACGUG